CAGUAGCCACGGGAACACGGAGGGAGCUAGCGUUGUUCGGAAUUACUGGGCGUAAAGCGCGCGUAGGCGGUUACUCAAGUCAGAGGUGAAAGCCCGGGGCUCAACCCCGGAACUGCCUUUGAAACUAGGUGACUAGAAUCUUGGAGAGGUCAGUGGAAUUCCGAGUGUAGAGGUGAAAUUCGUAGAUAUUCGGAAGAACACCAGUGGCGAAGGCGACUGACUGGACAAGUAUUGACGCUGAGGUGCGAAAGCGUGGGGAGCAAACAGGAUUAGAUACCCGAGUAGUCCCUGUCUCUUAUAC
rnacentral:rRNA from 1 species